UUGCACAAGNCGGUGGAGCAUGUGGUUUAAUUCGAAGCAACGCGAAGAACCUUACCAAAUCUUGACAUCCCGAUGACAAGCUGUGUAAAGCAGCCUCUCUUCGGAGCAUCGGUGACAGGUGGUGCAUGGUUGUCGUCAGCUCGUGUCGUGAGAUGUUGGGUUAAGUCCCGCAACGAGCGCAACCCUUGUCUUUAGUAGCCAGCAUUUAGGAUGGGCACUCUAGAGAGACUGCCAGGGAUAACCUGGAGGAAGGUGGGGAUGACGUCAAAUCAUCAUGCCCCUUAUGAUUUGGGCUACACACGUGCUACAAUGGCGUAAACAAAGAGAAGCGAGGGAGUGAUCCGGAGCAAAUCUCAAAAAUAACGUCUCAGUUCGGAUUGUAGUCUGCAACUCGACUACANGAAGC
rnacentral:rRNA from 2 species